rnacentral:misc_RNA from 1 species
GAUGAAGAACGUAGCGAAAUGCGAUACUUGGUGUGAAUUGCAGAAUCCCGUGAACCAUCGAGUCUUUGAACGCAAGUUGCGCCCGAAGCCAUCAGGUUGAGGGCACGUCUGCCUGGGCGUCACAUAUCGUUGCCCAAUGCCUAUUGCAGUGCAAUAGGAAUUUCUAGGGCGAAUGAUGGCUUCCCGUGAGCGUUGUUGCCUCGCGGUUGGUUGAAAAUCGAGUCCUUGGUAGGGUGUGCCAUGGUAGAUGGUGGUCGAGUUAGAACGAUACCGAUCAUGUGCAUGCUCCCCAAAAUAUGGCCUCUAUGACCCACACACGUCUUUUGACGCACAUGACGAGACCUCAGGUCAGGCGGGGCUACCCGCUGAAUUUAAGCAUAUCAAUAAGCGGAGGA